UAUGGUCACAUCACGUCGAAACACCUGUUCUCGUACGAUCACCGAAGUUAAGCAAUGACGUUCCUGGUCAGUAUCUAGAUAGGUGACCACUUGGGAAUAUCAGGUACUGUAA